rnacentral:rRNA from 1 species
UACGGAGGGUGCAAGCGUUAUCCGGAUUUACUGGGUUUAAAGGGUGCGUAGGUGGGUCUGUAAGUCAGUGGUGAAAUCUCCGGGCUUAACUCGGAAAUUGCCAUUGAUACUAUAGGUCUUGAAUCAUCUGGAGGUAAGUGGAAUAUGUCAUGUAGCGGUGAAAUGCUUAGAUAUGACAUAGAACACCAAUUGCGAAGGCAGCUUACUACGGAUGUAUUGACACUGAGGCACGAAAGCGUGGGGAUCAAACAGG